rnacentral:rRNA from 1 species
GUAGGUGGCAAGCGUUGUCCGGAAUUAUUGGGCGUAAAGCGCGCGCAGGCGGUUCUUUAAGUCUGAUGUGAAAGCCCACGGGCUCGACCGUGCAGGGUCAUUGGAAACUGGAGAACUUGAGUACAGAAGAGGAAAGCGGAAUUCCACGUGUAGCGGUGAAAUGCGUAGAGAUGUGGAGGAACACCAGUGGCGAAGGCGGCUUUCUGGUCUGUAACUGACGCUGAGGCGCGAAAGCGUGGGGAGCAAACAGGAUUAGAUACCCUGGUAGUCCACGCCGUAAACGAUGAGUGCUAAGUGUUAGGGGGUUUCCGCCCCUUAGUGCUGCAGCUAACGCAUUAAGCACUCCGCCUGGGGAGUACGGCCGCAAGGCUG